GGAGAGAUGGCCGAGUGGUUGAAGGCGAUAGUCUUGAAAACUAUUAGGGUCGCAAGGCUCUCGUGAGUUCGAAUCUCACUCUCUCCGCCA
rnacentral:tRNA from 1 species